rnacentral:sRNA from 1 species
CUGCUAAAGAGUUGCAAAUAUUAAAGGACAAUAGACUUGCAUUAACGCUUGAUGAGUAUUAUGAACAAUGUGUGCAGACUGCUUCCACUGAACCUGAUACAAACAGCCACGGACCAAAUCGAACUCAACAAAGAUUCAAUACGGAAGUUAUGAAACUAACACUUGAUGAGUAUUAUGUGCACUUUGUCUUGCCCAAGGAACGAGUCCAGUGCCAAGAAGAAAAGAGGAAGCAACUGAGAAUCAGUCACUAUCAUCGAACUCACUAUUUUGCGCCCAGCUAUUUGGAACGACGCCAGCCGCGGCAGCCUUGAGCCAAUGUUCACAAGAGAUGAACGCGGUGCAAGUAGCCUAAGUAUGUAAACUAAUGAUGGCAAAGGACCUACAAAACUUCCGUAGCUUGCUCCAAGGGUCACUCAAGAGUCUAAGUUAACAACAAAACUAACUGACAUUCAAUGCUAAUCCGGUUAAUAAAAACAGAGGAAAACAGGAGAGAGAGAGAAAGAGAGACAGAGAUUUUACUCUGUACACUGAGUACAGAUUUGUGUUAUAAUAAUAAUGCGAAAAAUUCUUUUGAAUGAGACCAGAAAAAGCACUUAGCCACAAUUAAAUGACAUCUGACAU